UGCCUCUCUCUGUUUCCUACAGCUUGCAGUUUCUAUGUCUCAUGCACCACUCUCCAUGGGACAUUGAACAUAUCUACUUACUCCCCAAACUUCCGAUUUGAACUUCUCAAAGGACCAUCCUCACACCUGAAGAAUGUGGGAAUGAUGAGCCCUGCUGGAAUCGAAACCAAUCUACCAUUCCCUUCAGACUCCCAAUGCUUGUGCCACAGUGUGAUGCCUUCUUGGGCUUGAGGUUGUUUUUCUUUUUUUUUCAAGAGUCGGGUUUUGGCACCAUUUCUGUCGGUUGCGCUGGAACAUGAGAGUAGCUACAGAUUUUAAAUUAUGGAUGCCUUUAUCCAAUCAUUUUCGAAGGAGGAAAAAACCAAGUCUAAUACUCUCAAGCAGGACCACAGUCUCCUGGGCAUCAGUUAUCGUUCAGGUAGACACAUCUGGUGAAAUGCAUCACAUCAAAUUAGUACCAAGGGUAUUGAGACUCUGAGACUACAGGCAGACAACCCCCUUCUAAUGUACUGCUUUUUAGAUUGUUGGGGAAACUUGAAUCCCAAUUCUCUUGUGAAAUGAGUGAUACUAACAUGCCUGUUCAAAUGCUCAAAGUGAAGAUCAAAGCAGCAGUGUCCAAAUUGCCUUUGCAAACAAAGCAGCCCCUUGCAUCCCCCCUGGGGAUCCCGUGCUAAUUUUAUCUACUCUCCCUGGCUCUUCUGCUAUUAAAUAGCAAUAAAUAAAUGUUUUUUUUCUGGGUUUGCCAGUGGCUUAUUUGUCUGACAAACAAGCUCAUUUCCUUUUAAGUGUGAGGUUUUAGUCCAACUAAUAGAAUUAAUCUAUUUUUAAUGAAAAUGCGAAUGGCUUUUACUUAGAAAUCUACCUACCCAUCUCCCUCUUGGCAAGAGGACCCUCCCCCAGCGUCUUCUCUGAACACAUACAACCAGCCAUGAAUAUUUCAAUACA